rnacentral:rRNA from 1 species
UAGCCAUUCAGUGGAUGGAUUGGCUCAGGAGCUGAUGAAGGUCGUGCCAAGCUGCGAUAAGCCCAGGCGAGGUGCACGGAGCCUUAGAACCUGGGAUUGCCUAAUAGGUCCUCCUGAUACUGUUUAGCUAGUAUCGAUCCCUUAUGGGAUCGGGAACGCCCUGAAAUGAAACAUCUUAGUAAGGGCAGGAAAAGAAAUCGAAUGAGAUGCCGUGAGUAAUGGCGAAAGAAAGUGGUAUAGCCCAAGCUGAAUCUUUUUUCGAAAGAAAAAAGAGAUGUGGUUCAACUGGAUUAUAGUCCUAGUAAAUCAGAAUAGAAGUCUUCUGGAACGGAGCGCCAAAGAGGGUGAAAGCCCCGUACAUGAUGAUUUGUGGACUACCAGUUGGAAAGAGUAGUAUGGGUUGGAUAUCCCGUGUGAAUAUGGGAGGCAUUGACUUCCAAGGCUAAAUACAUCCUGAGUCCGAUAGUGUAAUAGUAGCGUGAGUGAAAGCUGAAAAGUACCCUCCAACGGGGGGUGUAAAGAUCCUGAAAUUGAAUGGUGAUAAACCGAUGCAGCUUUAAAGGAAUGAUGUGGUUUGAAGGAACUUUCUGAGAGGAUUUAGUACGAAAACCACUAACCAGGGUUGCAUCGUACGUUUUGAAAAACGGGCCGGGGAGUAUAUCCUAGUGGUGAAGGCUAAGCCCAAUAUGGGUGUAGUCAUAGGGAAACCAACAAGCCCGCAGCCACCAUUUGUGUGGUGAGGGGCGUCGUGUUUAAGCGCGUGAAAUCACUGGGAUAUAACCCGAAACCAGGUGAGCUAUGCGUGGGCAAGGUGAAGCGCCGGGAAACCGGCGUGGAGGCCUGUUAGCCAUGAUGACCUACAAAUCUCUGGCGUGAUCCACGUGUAGGGGUGAAAGUCCAAUCAAACCUGGCAACAGCUGGUUCCUUCCAAAACACCUCGUAGGGUCGUCUUGUCCGAGGACGCCGGCAGAGUAGAGCACUGAUUGAGAGGAUGGGUCGAGAGACCCUGAAUCCCUGUCAAACUCCGAACAUGUCGGCUCUGAAGACGACAAGAAUCAGGUUAUUGCGCGUAAGGCGCAGUGCCGAAAGGGGAACAACCCGGACCGAGGUUAAGGUCCUUAAAUGCCGACUAAGUGCUAAGGCAAAAGGGUGUCCCGGACCUUAGACAGCUGGUAGGUGGGCCUAGAAGCAGCCAUCCUUUAAAGAGGGCGUAAUAGCUCACCAGUUGAGGCCUGGGGCCCCGAAAAUGGAAGGGGCUCAAGUCGGCUACCGAUACCUCGGGACUCCGAAAGGAGAUUCAGUAGGAAGGCGUCCUGCAUGGAUAGAAGUAGGGCCGUAAGGUCCUGUGGACCGUGUAGGAACGAGAAUCCCGGCAGUAGUAGCAGCUAAGUCGGGUGAGAAUCCCGACCACCGAAAGAACCAGGGUUCCUCGGCAAUGUUCGUCAGCCGAGGGUUAGCCGGUCCUAAGACCAACCGCAACUCGAAUUGGUCGAAUGGGAAGCAGGUUAAUAUUCCUGCACCACCCGUGUACGUUUUGUCAGAUGAAUAACACUUUAGGAUAGGUUAUUCAGAGCAUUCGCUCUGUCUAAGUCUCAAAGUCUGGGGAGAACCGUAAAGGUGAGAACCAGGUGAAGGGAUUAUGGCGAAAGAUAACCAAAUCCUAGGGUCCAUGAAAAAUUCAUCUGAAAGAAAGCGGGUGACCGUACCUAGAACUGACACAGGUUCUCUGGCUUAGAAAGCCAAGGUGUGUCGGGCUUACCAGCCUGAGGGAAAUCGGCAAGUUAGCUCCGUACCUUCGGAAGAAGGAGUGCCUACCUUGCAGAAGGUAGGUCGCAGUGACAGAGGAGCUCAGACUGUUUAAUAAAAACACAAGUGGUCGCUAGCCCGAAAGGGUUAGUACGGCCAUUGAAUCCUGCCCAGUGCAGGCACCUGAAAAUCCGGUACAACGGAGAGAAGGGCCUGUAAACGGCGGGGGUAACUAUGACCCUCUUAAGGUAGCGUAGUACCUUGCCGCUUAAUUGGCGGCUUGCAUGAAUGGACAAACGAGAGCUCCACUGUCCCCAGGCUGGAUCCGGUGAACCUGACGCUCUGGUGAAAAGUCCAGAGUCUCUCAAUGGGAAGCGAAGACCCUAUGGAGCUUUACUGCAGCCUGCCGUUGGGCUGUGGUCCCAGAUGUACAGAGUAGGUAGGAGGCUUCGACACCCUGCCGCCAGGUAGGGUCGAGCCUUCAAUGAGUUUUGUAUAUAUUAUUGGGGUUUCUUUCGUUAAUAGGUUUUUUUGUUUCACUCCC